rnacentral:rRNA from 1 species
UACGUAGGUGGCAAGCGUUGUCCGGAAUUAUUGGGCGUAAAGCGCGCGCAGGCGGUCCUUUAAGUCUGAUGUGAAAGCCCACGGCUCAACCGUGGAGGGUCAUUGGAAACUGGGGGACUUGAGUGCAGAAGAGGAAAGCGGAAUUCCACGUGUAGCGGUGAAAUGCGUAGAGAUGUGGAGGAACACCAGUGGCGAAGGCGGCUCUCUGGGACGGUACUGACGCUGAGACGCGAAAGCGUGGGGAGCGAACAGG